ACAGUGUCUUGUAUACUCCUUAAUUCUUGAUCAUCUGGAUCUGGCUCAUCAAUUUUCAUACUGCAUAUUUCCUGCAGCUGCACCAAGUUAUCAUCAGGAUCAGGCUCUUGCUGUACGACUUCAUUUGCCAGCAAUUCAUCUGGAUCGGGUUCCCUUUGAGCCUUAUAUAGAUGGCCUUGAUCUUCCGUGGUGUCAUUCACAAUUUUUAUUUUCAGUUCAGCCUCUGAAUCAUCCGGAUCAGGUUCAGCACUGGUCCUCCUCAGUUGAACAGUGUCGUCCACCUCCAUUAACUGAGAGCAAAGAGAUUCCGGUUCCACCACAACACCAGACUUCCACGCAGUUUCUGAGUCAUCAGGAUCAGGCUCCUCAUAUGGGUUUGUGGCUGCCAGUUUCUUUGGAGACACCUGCUGAACCAUCUCAGGGUCAGAAUAAUUUUCAGGUUCCAAAGGUUCCCCAUCCUGGGAAUCAUCAGGAUCAGGCUCAAGCUUGUUCUCAUAGCCAGGAUCAUCAUCAGGAUCAGGCUCAUGACCUUUCCACUGAUCUCUACUUGGACUCUCAAUAUCCAGACUUCCUUUUGCUGCUGAAACUGUAUGAUGAGAUUCUCCAAGCAUAAUGAGCCCUGAAUCAUCAGGGUCAG
rnacentral:lncRNA from 1 species